rnacentral:tRNA from 1 species
UGGCUCAGAUGGUAAAGCAUCUGCCUGCAAUGCAGGAGACCCGGGUUCGAUUCCUGG